UCGGAUAUGAGUUGAAGCUUGCAACAACAUAUAUAGUUAAUUUUUACAGCUUCCGCUUCUACAAUUAAUUUUAGAGCUUAUGCAGCUAUGAUCAGUAUUUCCACCGAAACUUUUACAGUCUGAAGGAGAAAUCCUCUUGUGGGGCUUAGCAGAAGCUGCCUUUUCUCAGUACUUGACAUACUACGUAUGAUUCCUUUUAUUAUUAAUAACAAUAAUACUACUAUAUGUGUUUACUAAAAUUUCGCAUGCUAAAGACUCUUAUGUUUUCACCAUCACCAUUUGAUUGUUUUGAUAUUUAAAUUGCAGCACUUGUUAACUCUUUAUAAUUGAAAAGGGGUCCCUAAAUGUAGCGUGUACCUAUGAAAAAUUUGGACAACAUGAACAUGUGAGGAUUCUGUUUUGCAUUCGGUUGGCCUUCUAAAGAAGAUUUAGGGAGGCAGUAUGUCUCAGGUAUUUAUGACAAAUGUUCGUUACACUUUAUUCUUUCGAGUAGGAAUUAGCCUUUUCUCUCUCUUUAACAGAGUACAUUACUUUGGAAAUUUUCAAUUGUUGCCUGCUGUCCAUGCACAAAUUAGGUACUCUUAUAUUACUUCUGAGCUUCUACACAAGUGCCUACAGAUUUACUUGAUUUAUUAGAUCAUACAAACUACUACAAAGUAUACUGCAGAAUAUUUGUUCUCCACUAACAGCAACACCUUCCGUUAAAAAGGGAAUUAUUUCAUUAUUGGAGGCUUUCAUGUACAUAUUAUUGGCAGCUCAUUGGCGGUUUGGAUUUCUAUAUCAGAUGAGAAAAAAUGAUGCCUCCUGAACAUUAGUUGCAUUUUCAGUUUUAGCCUGUCUACGGGUACUAUGUAGAGCUCAUGCUUCGUUGAUUCAUCUCCCUGCUGCUACUGAUGGUGCCCAAGGGGUGGUCCAGUCUAGAGGACAUGUAUUUCUCCUCGCUUUUGAAAUUUUAGAACUGAAUCAAAUUUUCAUCAGUAGACAAGCUGAGUUUAUAGUAUAUAAAUUAUGAGAGGAUCAUGCCUUCUCCUUUCAAUAUGAAUUCCCUUCGUGCAAUUGCCCCAGACCUAAAUUAUGAGAGGAUUAUGGAGGCGAUGAAGAAGUAAAUUAUAAGAAGCUGAGUUUAUAGUUGUACAACGCACUGUGGAGGCAUGGUCUUUCUCAGGAUGACUAACAAGGAUGAUCAGCAAGUGUUUGUUUGCCAAAAUUAUGGCGGUUUGAAAAAAG
rnacentral:lncRNA from 1 species